AUUGAACGCUGGCGGGAUGCCUUACACAUGCAAGUCGAACGAGUGGCGGACGGGUGAGUAAUAUAUGGGAACGUGCCCAAUAGCGGGGGAUAACUACUCGAAAGGGUGCUAAUACCGCAUACGAUGGGAUGUGCCGAGAUCGGAUUAGCUAGUAGGUGGGGUAAAGGCUCACCAAGGCAACGAUCCGUAGCUGGUCUGAGAGGAUGACCAGCCACACUGGGACUGAGACACGGCCCAGACUCCUACGGGAGGCAGCAGUGGGGAAUUUUGGACAAUGGGGGAAAGCCUGAUGCAGCCAUGCCGCGUGUAUGAAGAAGGCCUUCGGGUUGUAAAGUACUUUUGGCAGAGAAGCGGUAUCUGCAGAAUAAGCACCGGCUAACUACGUGCCAGCAGCCGCGGUAAUUC
rnacentral:rRNA from 1 species